GAGCUGCUGUUCAGCUCGUGCAAGAGCUACCGGAGCUCGUCCCCGCCGCCGUGAACCGCCGUCGACCUCCGCCCUAGCCCGCCGGAGCUUCGCCUUGCCUCCGCCGCCCUUGGCCGCCCGAACCGACGCAGGAUCCGCCCCAUCUUGGCCCCGAUCAGCAACCCAGAAAAUGGGUAUGGCAGCCCCUUCGUGGCCCGUUUUGGCCGCCUUCCCGAGCCCGGAUGCUCGGCCCGCUUUGAGGAAAGUUGUUCUCCUCGGCGUCCUCGUCGUUUUGGUCCGCUCGGCUCGCUAAUCCGGUGAGUUUAACUCACUAAACCUCGCUUAGAGGGUUAAUGAUGCUUUAGGUGUGUUUAGUUAAUGUUAAGUGUUAUUAGGUGGUUAGUUUAAUUUAUUUAAGUGUAGAUUAUAUUAAUGUGCUUAAUUAACUUAAAUUGUGUUUAAUUUAAAGUUAAGUGGGUGUUUAUAUUAAUAUAAACAUUGAUGUGACAUAAAGGAAUUUACUUUUGAUUUAUUUAAAUAUUUCGAAAUUAUUUAAUAAUUUAAUAAUAUAUUAUUAUUCGAAAUUAUUAAAAUAUUAUUAUUUAAUUAUUUUCGGAAUAAAUUUAAUUAUUUAUUAAAUUCCGAAAAUUUUGUCGAGACCCUAAAUUCUCAGAAUUUCGUGCCGGUCGCUACUGUAUAGUCGGAUUUUGAAAUUGAUAAUUGGAUAUUAUGAAUUGAGUGUGGAUCGUGAAAGAUAUGCAUAUUAUUAUUUAAUUAAUUUUCGGAAUAAAUUUAAUUAUUUAAUAAUUCGAAAAAUUAUUUUGGGACCCUAAAUUCUCAGAAUUUCGUGCUGAUCGCUGCUGUGCAUUUAGAAUUUGAAUUUGAUGAAUUGAUGUGGCAAAUUGAGUGUUGAUUGUGAUAAAUAUGGAUUUCAUUCAUAAAAACCCAAGUGUCGGGUUUUGUUGCAAAAAUUGGAUUUUAAUGAUUAUAUUAAAUAGUGGGGUUUGAAAAAGUGAGAUAUUGGCUUGUUGAUUCGAAAUUAGCGUGUCCCCACACACGUGAGUAAUUUCUGAAAUAUUUUUAAUAUGAAGAAAAAUGGCCGGGAUCACUAUUUUAAGUUGAAGCAUUGAUUUAAAUAUAAAGUGUCAUAGGGCCGAGUAUGCUUUGGCUAUGUGAUAACUAAGAGGAACCGUCCUGGGCUGUUGAGCCGGACUUGCCCCUAUAUGGGAUGCCCACGUGGUGGAUGCGGGUCGCAGUAGAUUCUGGGCCCAUGCUCCUUCGGGAAUGCCAUCGACGUACUGACGAAGCCGCGCUCCAUGGGGGGAGGCGAUGCCUGGCAUUAGCGUCAGUAGAUAGCCGAACUGCGAGUAGGCUAUGCCCUUGUGUGGCAGUGAAUAGCAAUUGGAAUGCAUGAUGAGUGAAAUUGAUGUGCCGGAUUAUGGGACGGAAUUGUGUGGCAUGGAAUGAGACGUGUCAUAACGAUUUAGUCUUAUAAUCAGGACCCCCGCGGUUGUUGGUUAUAUGAAAGUGAAUGCGUUCCGGUUGUUUAAGUUCUUAUUACUGCAUAUGAUUGAGUGAUAUGAACUGUGCUAACCUGUAGGAAGAAACUGAGGCGAGGUAAGUCUUCUGUGUGAUGUGGCUAGGCCACCCGGGGUGUAUUUUCUUUCUAAUAGGGGUUUAGGGGGUUGAACUUGCUGAGACAUCGUCUCAUCCCGGUUGUGGGAUUAAAAUUUCAGGUCCUUAGAUGGCGGUUGUGGAGGACCCGAAGCCCUAAGUCUGGAAAGGUGGAGACUGAAGAAUCGGUGAUCGUGUCCCGCUAGUUGGUUUUAGGGUAGUUCCCCUUUUGUCGAGCUAGUCUAUUUUGCAGACAGCCCAGAAUUGUAUUUAAGCCUAUGUGUUUGUAAAUGAGUGUUUAGUAUUGUGAUUGAUUGCCUGCUUUUCUAUCCCAAGUUAAAUGUUGUCAGGGGAUUUGUUUCGCUUCCGCAUGCGUAAUAAAAUGAAUAGGUCGGCGACGUAUCCUGGGAUGUCGCAUAUUUGAUCGACCGCAGUGGGAUGUGCGCGCGCUCAGGGUUCGGGGCGUGACAGCUCCUAUUUGUAAUAACACCUUUUUUUUUAGCCUUUUAAAAUUGCUUUCAUAAUCCAACCUCUCUUUUCUCUAGUCUCUCCUUUAGCACAGAAGCGGACUCAAUUUGCGGAUGCCAAUACAUCAUGUGGGCUCGUGAUCUUCGAAUAGGCCAUCCAAGCGAAUUUGGAGGUACAUUUUGCUACAUUAAAUCAGUCAAUUCUGAAGAAAAAAAUUCCAUUGUUAAAUUUCCCGUUCGUGCAGGCCUUCAUGUUUGCCAUGUGACAAGUUUAUAGAUCGAUCGUGGACCAUGUGGCAAGUCUUCGCAUUUGCGAGGUGUGCGAAGUUAAAUGUCACAUGUGGCAAGCCUUCAUGUCCGCAGUUUUUAUUAUCAUAUAUAAUAGACGGUCCUUGAACGCAAGAAGAAAAAACUGGCAACUAACAUUCUGUUUUUUGAAUUUCGAUGUGAUUUUGAAUCUCUAUAGACAGAGUCGCUUACACUUUAAGGUUCUCUCUCUGUUAUUUCCUGCUGGACAACUCGGCGAUUCGGCACUCAAUCCCCGUCGCAGCAUCGAGCUCGCGUUGUUUGUUUGUUUGUUUGUUUUUUUUUGUGAUCCAGGAAUCCCGUACAGCCGGCAGCCGGCGAGUAAACCUGGGGGACACGUAAGCGGGAGGACUCACCACCCCGGCAUCCCACUUAAGACCCUAAGCGACCGUGAGGAGAUUCGAACUCCUCUAAUUCAAGAGGGGGAGAGAACCCAAACCAUCGCGUUGUUUCGUUGUAGUAACAUACCAAAUCGUUAUAGGAUGCCAUGAGCAAUUAGACAGAUACGAGUCGGUUGCCAUUGAACAUCCUAGAUUAGCCCCUUUCAAUUGAAAGAAUCGAAUGUUUACAGGUCUCACACUCUUUUGAGUGUAACACUCUGCUCUGCAAUCUAGCUCUCGCCUAUCAUGAAAUUCUUGUAACGAAAUUAUAAUUCUCUGUUCUAUUUCUUCUUCUUUUUCAGGUUUAUUGCGAAGCAGUUUCAAACAAUCUUUUUCUUCAGGUCGUAUCUUCCCCGAUUAAACUCUAAAUGUGAUCCCCAUUCAUUCUAGAGUUGCCUCUUGACCUAUGCUCUGUUUUGCCGUCUUUUGAGAAGCUUUUAAAGCAUAGACGAAAAGAGAGAAAAUGAGACGAGAUAAAGAAUGUAACGUUUAGGCUCGUGGAAUGUGAAUGCUUAGGUCAUCACGGAAGUCUUGCUUUUUUUCGGAAAUAAAUGAUUUUAAAAAUGGUUACCUAUAUUGUUUGAAAUAGUAAGUCAAUGGAUAAUUUUUUCAUUAUCCGUAAUAAUUUAUAUUUAAACUUUUUUCAUGAACAAUGGAGAUAUUCUUCGUUUAAUUAUUUUUGUAAGCAAUAUAAAUUAUCAUUUUAAGGAAAAUAAUUCUCAAAUCAUUCACUUUUUUCAAAACAAAUGGAAUCUUAGCCUUGUGUUUAUUGCAUCGCAGAAUGAUCUUGCUGAAGCUUAUAUGGAAAAUAGAAUUACAUGCUACAUACUGAGAUCUUGCGAAUGCCAAAUGCUUUUAUUCCUAGUAAUGCUAUGCCUACACUGGAUAGUGAUCUUAAGAACAAUUGUUAUAUAGUUGAAACUAGGAAUUGAGAGCUUCGUAGACAUAAGAAAGAGAAUUAAAUCCCCUAACUAUAGCGAUCUCUAUAUUGGAAUAUAAUAGUUGAACCAAUGUUUUUGCUCAAAUCGUAUUCUAGUUUGGAAAUGUGAUUAACAUUCUCGUUAACUAAACCUUAAUUAGGUAUAUAGUUGAAGUAGUUCUACCGCAUUGAUGUUUAGGAUGAUAUUUCCCUUCUAGAGGAUAGUUCGUGUUGAUAUCAUCAAACGGCUUUUAAACACAAUUAAUUUUUCUACAUAAAUGUUCACAAAAUGUUAAUUACUUUCCUCUCGAAAGAUACAUUUUCAUAUUCUUUAUUAGCCGCCAUCAAUAAUGAUCAAUCAUGCAUGUCUUAUGUCUACUUCUGUUAAUCGCGAUGUUCUCGCGCUUGAGCUUUGAAUCUGUGUGCACCAUCAAUGAACUCGAGUUUAUUGAACCAAGGAGAAUUCCUUCAACCUCCGACAACUUGCAGCCUUGGAGCUUUCCAAUUUUCAUUGAGCGUGGAAGUUGAGAACGUCAUUCCAUUCACGUCCGAGAUUAUAUUAACAAUAACUUUCGAUAUCAGUCUUGAUGAUCUCGUGCCGAUUGGGUUGCGAUUCUCACUAUCUCAUUGACGGAUUGGGCCAUUUAAUCAAGUGCACAUCGACCAUUUGGUGAAAUGCUUGAGUCGUGUUAUUGAAAAUGCGACUUCGAAUCUGACUAACAUGAUUGUGUCUGCUUCAAUGAUUCACCGUACCUGUUGUUUCGGUUCAGUAAAUCUAAAUUGAUAUUCACUUUUGAGUCCACUCCUGAAGGUCUUGGUCUCGAUAGGCUUCCGACAUUCUAAGGCGAUAAGCUUGACUCCGUGAAAUCAGCCAAAAAAUGUUGAUGUGCUGAAUUGUAAAUUUUCCGCGCGUGGCUGCUGGUGUGCUCAUCAAGCAUUAGCUGAUCAUGUAGGCUAAUGAAUUGGAGUGCAGAUCCCAUUUUCUGUACAUAUCUUUGCUUUAAAUGAAUGUGAAUAUGUGUUUGGAUGUAAAAAUAACGCGCAAGUUUGUGUUUGCAUUCAUACUGGAUUGUGGUUGUUGCUUGCUACUUAUAUGUUAUCAAAUGAUGCUGAGGUAUUACUAGAAGCUCUUGCAUAAAUAACUAGGAAAUUUAGCCAUGUACGGUUUAAAACUUUAUUCGUACAGUGUGAUGAAGAUAAUCACCCCAUUUUCUUGUUAUGAUGAGUAACUUAAUCAGAACGCAUGAAUUUUUUAUUUUCAAAGAGUUUGAAAAAAUGUUGUUUCUAUUUUGAAUUAAUUUAACUAGUGUCGUAGGAAUGUUGUCGAUAUUCACUGCAUUUUCUUGUUAUAAUAAGUAACAUAAUCCACUGAGGACAUCGGAUUCUUUUAUGCUGUCGAUGUACAGAUGGGUUGCUGUAGGAGUUCUUUGUGGGCCGAUGGCGGAUCUAGGUUUUCCUGCAGUCAGUUUGGUGAUGCCAUAAUUUUUUAUACCUCCUAUAAGCAAAACAAUUAUGUGGUGCCAUUUUCUACUUUUGUUGGUGUAGCCGGUUCUUCUUGUGUGUGCUCUAGUUGCUGAUGAAUCAAAGGAGUCCUUCAUAUGGUUGUUUGAGACAUGGCUCAGGGCAAUGUCUGGUUGCCAUUCCAAGUCGAUAGUAGCCGAUCAUGAUGAUUCCAUUCUGCAAGUGAUUGAACAGGUUUUUCCUUCGAGUCAUCAGCGAUUCUCAGUGUGGCAAAUUAAGACAAAAGAAUGUGAGGAUUUGAGUCCACUGAGUGGUGAUUGCAAAUUUGAAUAUGAGAAGUGUGUUUAUCAGCCAUACAGUUGGUGAAUUUGAUGCUGCGUGGGAUGCUCUUCUCAGCAAAAAUGGUUUAAGGGAAAAUGCUUGGCUGAUGGAAACAUAUGAAAAGCGUGAAAACUGGGCUCCACUAUACUUGCGCGGAUCAUAUCGUUUUGAGAUAUGAGCAAGGUUUGGAGCAACGUCGUGGCAAUGAAAGGAUGGAAGAUUAUAACUCAUUCAACUUGCAGGCAUUUUUGCACACAAAUGGACCGAUGGAAGAGCAAUAUAGGAGGCUUUAUACCCUUUCUGUUUUCAAAUGUUUCCAGAGGGAACUUCUACAAAGCUACCUUUUAUUCAUCAACAGAUAUUUGAUCUGUAAGUGCAGCAAUGAGAAUGAGAAACAUAUCGUUACCUUUUGUUCAUCCAAUCUCGAUGCGAGUUGUGGCUGUCAAAUGUUUGAAUCGGAGGGUGUUGUGUGUAGACAUGCUUUGAGAUUGUUCCAGAUUCUAUAUUGUAGAGUGAAUUAAAAGAGUUGCUCAAGCUUGUGGGCGUUAUAUGACGGAACCUUAUGAAUGAAGAUUGCAGGGUCAAAUUUAGUAGCUGGAGGAGGAUUUACACGCUCUUAUGCAUCAGGUAUGAUUGUACACUCCAUUCUGAAUUCAUACUGUGAUGGCAAUCGAGACUAUUGCAGUAUUUUCAUCUUUUUAUUCUAAGACGAUCUACUGCAUAACUUCAUCUUCUACUGCAUAAUUGAUGAUAAAAAUAGCUUGUAUCUAAAGAAAAACCUGUUCUCUCUCUCUCUCUCUCUCUCUCCCUAUAACCAAUACGGGCAAUUUUGUUGUUAUUAUGUGAUGUGAUACUAGAUUUUUUGCGACCAGUCACGAUUCAUUACAUCGAGUGUUUUUAAGUGAAGAUUCAUGCCCAUUUUGUUUUUGGAUGGAUGGUUGAAGAAAGUUUUGCAAGAAAAAUUGCCCAAAAAGUUAGGAAUAUAAGCAAGAAGUCUCUUUUUCCAUGGGCUCAUAAAUUCGACACCAGAUAUGAUGCCAACAAAUGUAAAUGGACUUGCUGCUAUGUCUACGACCUGAAAAGUCAAAUCACCAAUUCCCCGAUGCUCUGUUUGUUUCCACAUCCUACACAUGAAAGCUUUCUUUUAAUUGAUUCCAGUAUGAUGAUACAAAAAUUGUAAAGAUCAAUAGAUGGGCUUCAGUAGCCAAAGAAAAUAUCAUCUCGGUAAAAAAAUUUGGGUAUUCAGAGACCAAAUCAUGACCAUCAAUCUCAUUCAUCGUGUUGGUCCUUCUCCUUUAUCGCAUAGCAUAAUUGUCUCUCUCUAAUUUCCACACAAGAAAAAGAGAGUGACAUUGCCAUCUUUCAAGAAAAGGAUGGUGCUUCAAACCAAUCUUGUCACGUACCCACUAUACCCAAAACAUACAAAUAUGUGCCAAAAGCUACAUGCUAGAUUCCUUGGAGGCGAUGUUUGAUGCCAAAAAUAUUAUGCGAGUGAUUUUAUAAUUCAAUUGUUCUGUGGGAUAAUAUAAACUCUUAACUCAAUACCACAACCACUCGUGAAGGCGCUUGUAAGACCUUUUAAAUUCGAUCCAUUUCAGCAAUAGACUUGUCCUUCGUGGCAAUGUUGGGUGCACUUGUGCAAGGAGGCAUUGUGGCGUCGUUCUUGUCUCCUCAGUAUCCCCAUCUUUGACUAAGGAAACCGUAAAUUCAUACCCCAACUCAGAUGUCGAUCUAUGUGGCAAUGCAAGUACCACAACUUCACCACAUGUCAAAAAGUUAUAUGUUAGGUGGAACAUUUAUGAUUGAAGACGGCUAUUGUCGUUCAAACCAAUCAAACGAAAGGUCAAAUUAUGAAAUCACCCUCAGCUAUCCUUUCCUUCAAUUAUAAUUUGUAUCCUCCUUUACUUUCAGAAUCCUAACCGCAGGACCUUGAACAAUCCCGCACUUCUCCUUAUGAAUUCUAAAGCCACAUCAGGAAAAAUGUUAGGAACACAUAAAAUUACCAGCGGGGGUCCAUCCCAACAUGCACCGAGAAAUUUAGGGAGCUUCGAUUUUUUAGGUGAAAUAAAAAGGAAAUACCUAGAAGGAAUGAAAGAAAGGAAAGAGAGGAAGAAAGGGUAAAUUUACAGACAUAUGAGGACAAAAGGACCAAAAAACAAUAACAAUAAAUAAUAACAACAACAACAAGAAUAACAACAAAUUGAUAAAUAAAAAUAAAAGAAAACAGCCACUACGAAUCCUAAACUAUGCCCAUGAUAAUAUAUUUGUCCCGAAAUUUUUUUUAUUGUGACACAAAAAACCUCAAAUUUGUACUUAUAUGACACAUUUAUUCCAAACUUUUUUUUUUGUGACCCCAAAAGCACCAAACUUGUACUCAUAUGAUGCAUUUGACUUUUCAUGGCUAAGUGAUUGUACCCGAUCUUAGUACUUAGAUGUCACUUUUUAAAGUCUGAUCUAUUUCGCCGUAUGAUUUGUCCUUGGAGGCGAUGGAAGGAGGCAUGUAGGAAGGAGGUGGCCUCAUACUCGUCUCUUCCGUGUCCCCAUCUUUCACUAUGAAAGCGGUGCUCAUUCCCCAGCUCAUAUGUCGAUUUAUAUGACAAUGCCAAUACCAUACACCUGCCAUGUACAAUGUUCGAAUGUUAGUUGUGGAAUUCUUUUCCUAAUGCAAAAAUGGUAUUUUUGUCCAAAUGCAAAAAGGAAAGAAAAGGGCAUGAGGAAUACCUGGAUUAUUUGCCCUGAAUCUAAUCGCAGCCCACCCUCUUUUAGGAACUCCAAAUGUAUUGACUUUAGGCGGGUCAACCAAAUUGUACAUUUGAGGAUCGGUCUCGUUGUCGAAAUUUCCUAAGCCGACCCCAAUAACAUAAAAGCUAUAUCCAUGCAUGUGCAUUGGAUGAUAUUCUGAUUGGUCCAACAGAUUAGUCCCCUGAAACACCAUCUCUACAGUUUCGUUGUAGUUCAGAACUUUCACGGAUGUCCCUUGGGCAGCCUCGGCAAGACUGGUCGACAAAUCGUCUCCCGUGAAAUUAUACAUAACGGGAGGAAGAUCGAGAAAAUCCAUGGUGUAAACUCCGCUGAUGUUUCUGCAUAUUAAUGGCAAAAGGAUGCGCUUCUCAUGAUCUUCAUCUAUCAUUGACGUGAAAAAAUAUUCAAAUCAGAAGGGAGAGAGAGAGAUGAACCUGUAAUAAGCUUGUAGCACAUCGACAGAUCGGUCCUCCCAACUUAUGUUAUUUAAGGCUUCGGCAACUUUGUAAUCACCCAAAUAACACGAAUCAUCUGGGCAUGCCACGUGAUUCGCGGAAACUGUGAUGAACAUCCUCGUCGUCACGUUGCGAGGGACGUCCACUGGAUGUUCUUCAGAUGCCAAGCUUCUCAGCUGUUGUAUGAAACUCGCUGCAGCACUGUAGUCAUGAUAAAGUGGUAGUGUGUCAUUUGGGUAACUUGGUGGUGACGUCAGACUAAAAUUCCCUUUAUACUGGAUGAUAGCAGUAGCAACUUCGUGGACAAAAUUGGUGAAAUCGAUGUCUUCAGUUGAAAAUUCUUGAGCGGCCAGGUAAUACCUUCCUGGAGAUUGAUUUGCCGUAACUAAUACAUCCAUCGUUUGUCCAGAUUCUAUCACUAGAUACGAAACAACGAUUGGUUUUGUGUACGCUCCAUCCAUCCCAACUAACGUCAUGUUAUGAUCGGCGAUGGAGACGAACAUUUGUGAACCGACCGCUGCAUUGACUAUACGAAAAAGAUAGGUCUUGCCAUAAUUGACAGAAAAGUAAGACGUGGUUUCUGUAAAAUUAAUAGCAUGAAAAAAGAAUAUAUUAGACAUUGUACAUAACAAACAUGUGGACAAACCAUUAUCCAUGAUCCAGACAAUUCAAUGCUUAAUCAUACACAUCUAUGUAAUUCAAUGCAAGUUAAAUUUACUACAGACAAGUGCUACUGAAAGUGUUAGUUUUACUUUUAGAUACACAAUAAGUAUCAACAUUGCAGUAUAUUCUUAUCAAAGAGAAUCAUAUAUCUACAAUAACUUGAAAUGCAAACAUUUUAAGGAAGUAGCCUUUACCUCAUGGUCUGCAUCUCUACCCUCAUAAGCAUAAUGUCCAAACAGAAAGGAAAAAAUGAAAAAGAGAAAAGAGGAUGGGGGGAGUACAAAUGUACCGUUGGAGCAGGGAACAAAAUCUCCAUAUUGUCCAUUGAUCAUGUAACCAGUUGCACGAGGUACGUUAUAACUGCCUGCAGACAAUUCCAUCUCUAAAGCUUUAUUUAGAGAAGUUCCUUCGUUAAACCAAGAACCUGCAAAUCAUGAAAGGAAAAUGGGAAACUGAAUUACAUCAACCUUUGCCUUUACCAUGCAACCGCAAAGAAAUGCAUAGUUGGAAAACAGAGAUGGCAAUGGAGGAGUUCCAUCGUAGAAAGUUCUGAUCAUUAAACUUCAAUUUCCAAAUGAAACAUUCAAAUAAUCUCAAUAUUCUAGUGAGGGAGUUUGAUCUUCACUAUAAUAUACACUUUUGCAAGGUUUUCAAAUAGAUAGCAGCCCACGAUCAUUAGUUACUUUGUAUGCUUUUAGGAAGAGGCAUGCUCUGAUGAAUUCUGCUUUUUUAACUCUUGAUCCACUUCCUGCCCUUAGCCUCCAGUUUUAUGUCUAAGAGGACCCAUAAGAAAUCUUAAGAGCACGUACCGAGCAUGAUUAAAUGUUCUCCAUCUGGCGUAGUGAAUGGGAAAUUUGAUCCUUCACUUGGUAGAAUGACAAUAGCACCAUACACAAUAGAUCUUGUCCACUCAUUAUGGGCAUGCCACCAAAUAGUUCCUUCUUCAUCAGUUAAAUUUACUUCAUAAGUAAAAUUUGUUCCCGGUGGAAUAGCGCAUUGCGUAAUAUACUCCGGACCAUCUGACCAUGGAUUUCGCGGUUGCUUCACUCCAUGCCUACAAAUCAGUGAAUCUGAUCAUAUAAAAAAGUACUCGAGGAGCUAGACAAUGUUUUGUUUGCAUUUAAUAAUCAAAAUUCAAUGUCUUUCUUGCACAUCUUUUAGAUAAAAUAUUUUUCCAUCAUUGAAGCUCCAUUUGUUUUGCGAAAAAUGAACGAUUUGGAAAAUAUUUUCCUAAAAAUGAUCAUUUGUGUCGCUUAUGAAAAUGAAUGAACGAAAGAAAUUUCAUUGUCCUCGAUAAUGUUAGACAUAAAUUGUUAUCAAUAUUGAAUUAUUCUCUAUCGACUAAUUAUUUCAAGCGAUACAUGUAAUUGUUUUUAGAAAAAUAUUUUCCAAAUCAUUUAUAUUUUGCAAAAUAAACAGAGCCUAAGUAAAUAAGUAUUUGAUAAUAAGUGAACCUACUAAAGGCAGCUUGUAUAGUUAAAAAUGACAUUAAGAACUAAUAAACUAGAAUCAACGUUGUUUUAGUUAUUUUAUAAUCUAUCAAGAUGACAUGAAUUACGAAGAAAUUAUUUAUGAAAUUAUGAAGUCACAUUUUUAAAAUGUUGUGUAUGAUUGUGCUUUCCAUAAAAGUAGGAGAAGAUGCAUAUUAAUAAUCAACUCGGGGCAUGCCUGAGGAUCACUAGAUAGAAAGGGAUUUGUUGAUGAUGCCUUUUUAUCUUCACCCCAAACUCGGGUAGUUGCCCACCUGUGAGGGCCGACUGCAAUAGUCCCCAAAUGGGACGUCCAAUUAGACCACGUUCCUUAUUUUAACAUGUUGAUACUCGUGCGUCUCAUACUUCCCGUUGGUAAGUGAAUGUUUUUCUUCCCCACCAACUAAGGAACACAGGAGGUGACAUUGCGGGAUCUCUCACCUCAGGGUGGAUUUCUUGCCUGUUUCUUAUCCCUCGAGCCUUUUAAAGACUUGCCCAAGUCCAAAUGAGUGUACUUAGGAGAUAUUAGAAGAGAUUUAUGGGAAAAAAUGAAAAUUAUCAAAAAGAAAAAAGAAAACUAUUUCAUGAGUGAUAGGAACUAGACAUAGAUAGACCGAUUCUUCUCACUUAGACACGAAGUAAAAAAUUAAAGAAAAUGAUUUUCUUUUUAUCAGAAGCGGAAGUCUUAUGAAAAAUAUUUCAUCAAACAAAUCGACCCUAAACCUACUAAUGAGCACCACUAGAAAAAACUAGAGGUUCUUGAGAAUAUAUCCUGUAGUAUAAUUUCAGGUACAAUUUCGCUUCCUUUUAACUGUCUAUGGCAUCACAAGCUAACAAAAGGAGAGCAAUAAAAAACGUAAGAAGAAGGUGGGCAGAAUAAAAUUACCAAUGAAGAGUGACCCCGUACAGUCCUUGAUUGUGAACCUUCACGUACAUAAGAUCACCCUUUCGAGCUCGAAUGGUUGGUCCAGGAAGACUGUCGUUCACCACUAGAAUCGUAUUGGUUGUACAAUUCCUUGUGACGUUGAUUUCUCUCAACUGUGGGGGGGCAAAAAGAAAAAAAAUGAUGAUAAAUUUCAUACCAUCAUUAUAAAAUUUACCACCCAGAUAAAAGAGGCUGACAUCGAAAGGUACAGGAUUGUCCAAGUACGUGCAAAAUGAUUGUGGACCAUGUUUAGCCGAGUCGUUGGCUGGUCCCUCUAUUUGGUCCCCCCCAAAUUUCAGAUGCUUUUGGAUAUGUAUGUUCACGAUUUAUCUGGCGAAAACGACUCGAUCAUCCCUUCGGUUCUGUAAGUGGCGACAUAAGAGGACCGUGGAGGGGCUGAUGUAGAUGUGAGCCCGAGUAAUAUGCGCAGUCAGAUCACGUGUCUUAAAUGGGUGCCACCUCAUUUAACACCCCAUGCGAAUUGGAUCAACGUCCCCAGAAAGUGCAUGUAAGAUUUGGCCCACCAUUAUCUUUCCCUCUAAAUGGAUCAUCACCCGAGGCGAUUUUUAGGAAAAGAAGAAAAAGAUUUGAGAAUAAAUAAUCGCUAUCAUACAAAUUGCAUAAUCACUGGUUCCGUAUGCUCUGGAAACUGAAAGUUUUGUUUGUCUAUUAAAAUAUUCUAGCAAAAAUCUGAACAGCGUGAACUGCACACACUAAGCAUCACAGACAUAAACUUGAGUUACUUACCACGAAGUCGUAGUAGUGGACAUUACUAGCUUGAGCUCCGAGGAAGACGUUUCCAAAGAAAAGCAAGACCGUAGCGAGGAUAAUGUUGGAGGAAUUGGACGACGAUUUGGCCAUGCUCAUGAUCGUUCAACGCUCGAUCCGUUCUUCUCUUUACUCUCUCUUUCCUUUGGCCGGUCUUGAGCUGGUUCUCUCUUCUUUUAUAACGAACGGUCAGUGGAGCCUCUCUUCCCCUCUCUCUCUCUCUCUCCCCCGAAUCCUUUUUCGUCUUUUCCACUUAUGGAGGAGAGAGAUUUGACCUAAAUCUCUCCCUCCCCUCCUAGUUCCUUUUUCUUUUAUCUCUAUAUAUUUCUUUCCUAAUUCUCCCGAUCUAGUUUUAAAUCAGAGAGCUUUGCUCUCUUGAUAUUAUAUUUGGAAGCUUUUUUCUCCAAUCUAAUUCUAAAUUUUGAAGUUAAAAUAAAUAAGUACUCCGCCUUCAAUUUUAAUGGUGUUUAUAGCAGCUUUAGUGUUAAAUCUAUACUCGUUCGAUUAUUUUUUAUUCAAAGUUUUGGCACUUUGCAUUAAUUAUGGGACUCGCUCUCAUAGGUGUCAAAACUGAGAUUUUUCGACAUGUUUAUAUUGUUUCCGUAUGGUGAUGGUUUUGGGAAUGCCAAACCUAGGGGCACACCAUCGAAAGACAAAGCCGUAAUUAUAAAUGGAGAUCUCAGUAUGUGUUUUUCAUUGAUGGUGCUGUGUGAUUCGGUGAUUGGUAGUCGAUCCUUUCGCUUGAAUCUAGUUAUACAUCUGUUCCUGAAAGACGAGCUUGUGAUGAUCUCUGCCAACUAUGCUCUGAUGAGACGCCUUGAUUUCUAGUAUUUUAUUUGUUUUGGAGCUCUAUAGGUUCAAUUGCGAGCCAUUGAUUUUUAUUGAGGAUUAAAAACUAGGCAAAAUGAAUAGACAAUACGUUAGUUAAAAACUUAAUUUUUUUGAAGGUCAUGGUGUGGUUGGUUCUUUUAAGGUUUCCCAACAUCGGAAAUGUGCGGAGAAUUAGACUCUACAUUAAAAGUCUUAACCUCCACAGAAGUUAAAACAUUAAUUGUUUGAUUCAUUUUGUUUACAUUAACCUAAUUUAACCGUGGGAAUGGCCAAUGAAAGACAUAAUUAUACUAUUAAAAUGAGCCACUGGCUCUUGUGGACAUCUCCAAUAGGUUCUCUCUUUCCUUUACGUUUAUUUAUUUUGUUUCGGUUGAGAAAGCAAGUAGAUAGAUUAUUAGAAGGUAAAAAAAUAGAGGGUUAAUCAUAUUGCACACUCAGCCAAUUAUAUGUACAUAUAUAUAUUUGCUCCAAAAAUUAUAAAAUAAUUUAUGUCUUUUUAAAUAUAAAUAUUUAUACCAGUCCAGUUUAGUUGGAUGGGCGGGCGGUUCCACACCUAGAACUAGGAAUUAGACCAAUACUCAUUGGUUCUACUAAAUUGGAACCUAGAACCGAACCCACCUCCAUGGGAAUUGCCGAUUCUAGUCAUGUCCGGUUCCAAAUGGUCCAAGCGAUUUCCAGUUCUUUUACACACCCUUAAUUAUGACCCGCAUUGUUGUCAUUAUUGCCAUACAAUCAUGAAAUGAAAUAGCAUAAUAAUUCAAAUUAAUAAACAUCUUCAUCUUACAUGUAAAUUUUUUUAAUAAAAGGAAAAAUCAAUUAUAACUACAAUUAAUUUUGAUACAUUCGUAUCUGCGUGAAAAUUACAAUGCAGAUCUCACAUGCUUUCCUACACACUUCCUGUAUAUGAUUUUGCUAUUGUGUAAAUCACUAGUCAUCAUUUGUGAAUGUCAUUUCUGUCCUUGUUUUCACAUGUAAUUUACCCUGCGUCUAAUUGAGUAAAUUAUGGUGCACAUUUGCACGCGAUGUCUCUUAGAAGACAACAUAGAUCUUGUUGACUAUUAGAUGAGGUCUUCGACCAAACGUUAGGAUCAAAGAUCUGGAAACCUGAUUUUUGGAUCUUCAAUGCACAUUAUCUUGUUUUUUUUUUUUUUGCAUGGUUUUAUCUAAGAUAUUUUAUUCGUCACGUGCUAGGCAGUGAAAUAAAUAGUUAUAGCCCCUAAAAAUUCAUUAAAUAAACCUAUUUGAAUAUUCGUCCAUAUCAAUCUAUAAAAGCAUGAAAAUUGAGCUAUAAACACUCAUAUAUUAAAUUAAAAUUGGUAAUUUGAAGUUAAAGAAGCUAGAUGCUUUUGUCAAGGACCACCAGGUCCUUAGGAAAAGUACAAAAAAACGUCCUAAAUUUAUUGUAUUUGUACCAAUUCAGUCUUAAACCUUUAAAUUUGACCAAUUUAGUCUUAAAGUCUUUCACAUUGGAACCAAAUCAAUUUAUCUGGCAAAUUUAGGCUGGAAAUCAAUGACGUGGACGCCAGCCAUCUUACAUGAUGCUGACAUGGACAUUUUUAAAUAUUUUUUUAUUUUUAAAAUUUUUCCUUUUCCUUUUCCUUUUUUUCCUUUUUUUUUUCUAUUAUUUUUCUUUGGACUAUGGUUGAUACCGGCCACAGGUGGGCGCUGGCGAGGGUGUCGUGGCCCUUACUAAACCUAAAGAUAUUCUUGGAUGGUAGAUAAGUUUCCUAUUCUUGAGACCCACCAUCAAAUGUAUAUCUUUGCACUAUUUAUUAAAAGCAUGAUUUUGUGUUCACAGAUGUUUUUUUUUUUUUUUUGGUAUUGGAGGAACCGGCUUGCACCCGACAGCCGCGCCGUAAACCCCCAGGUGACACUUAAGCAGGAGGGCCCACCAUCCCUGAGUUACACUUAAUACACCUAACGCCUCCCCUGGGUUUUGAACCCUUUACCUCUUCGUUGAGGAUCAGCAGAGCCUUAUCCAGUGGAGCCACCACGGCCAGUGGUUGUGUUUACAGAUGUUUUUUUUUUUUUUUUUUUUUUGGUGCUGGAGGAAUCGGCUUGCAGCCGACAGCCGCGCCGUAAACCCCUAGGUGACACUUAAGCAAGAGGACCCACCACCCCUGAGUCACACUUAAUACACCUAGCGCCUCCCCUGGGUUUUGAACCCUUCACCUCUUCAUUGAGGAUCAGUAGAGUCUUAGCCAGUGGAGCCACCGCGGCCGGUGGUUGUGUUCACAGAUGUUCGUUGCUUCUUAUUCUCAUAAUUUUUAAUAAGAUAUACAUAUUGGUACGUACUGUCGUAUGUAAUUUUUUAUUUAUUUGUGUUAUGGUAGAAAAGUAAAAAGUUGCAUAUUUUUCCUGAACACAUGCCCUCACUUUUCACAUAUUAUUAUCGCGUAGCAUCUAACUAAAAGCAAAAACGAUAUGCAUAUAUCAAGUAUUCAAAUAAAUAAUGGAGAAAACCAAAAAAGUUGCACAAUACGAGUAUUAUAGAAAGUUCUUCGCAAAAAUGUCUUUCAGAUGGAGCCAAGGCCCGAGAUCGCAAUUUGGGGUGGAGAUUUUGUCGGCACAAGAUGACUCUGGAGUGGACAGCUGUGUACAAAGAUAGAUAGGUAGCCAGAAAGCAACUUAACUUUCCACCAUGGUCACAUAUUAACAUCACUUUCUUAUACCACCGGCUCAGGUGGCUCCGCUGGGUAGGCUCCAGACCUCCUCGAGGAAGUCGGGAGUUCGAAGCUCCUGCAACGCAAGUUACAGAGAGGCUGGUGGAUCAUUAGGCGAUUUAAGCGUGGCGUCGGGGUGGCGGUUUCCUUGUUAGCAUCACUAAAGGGUUUACGACGCACUGUCGGUGCAAGCUGGUUCAUCCUAAAAAAAAAAAAAAAACAUCACUUUGUUUUUAUUAUUUUUUUAAAAUUUCUUUUUGGGCUUUGCGCCACUUCUGUCUGCUUCUUCCUCCUUUAUAGAGACACUAGGCGCUUUCGGAACUCUAGAUAUUGAAGGCCAAAUAUUAAUAUGUUAGUUGUCACUCAUUAAUGGUCUACCGGCUCAUUUAUUACACAAAACUUAAUAUGAGCACCCACCUCAUUUACUGUAAAAGCACCGCCUCAUUUAUUAUAUCUAAAUGACAAAUACCAAUCACCAAAUCUAUGUCUCUAUGAAUAUAUUGAAAAAAAUAAGUAAAGUAAUACAUUUGAUUAAUUGUAAGGAAAGUGGGAAGGAAUGAAGUUUUGUAAUGAUAUUCAACAAUUCUCCCGAUGGUUUCCGCCAUUUUUGUUGUCUCUCUCUAGAUUAGAAGAU
rnacentral:lncRNA from 1 species